UACGGAGGGGUCCAAGCGUUAUCCGGAAUCAUUGGGGUUUUAAAAGGGUCCGUAGGCGGGCUAUUAAGUCAGAGGUGAAAGUUUUGCAGCUCAACUGUAAAAAUUGCCUUUUGAUACUGGUAGUCUUGAGUUAUAGUGAAGUGGUUAGAAUAUGUGGUGUAGCGGUGAAAUGCAUAGAUAUCACAUAGAAUACCAAUUGCGAAGGCAGAUCACUAACUAUAUACUGACGCUGAUGGACGAAAGCGUGGGGAGCGAACGGG
rnacentral:rRNA from 1 species